AGAGGAGUGCUUAAGCAAGCACAGACAUCAGCUGAUACAGAGCAAUUCUGAGUCUGUUGCCAGAGUAGCUGUAUGAUUCACAGCUCCUGCUGCACAAAGGAAGAGUUCAGUCUUCCCUGAGAAUCAGGCUCAUCCUUGGUACUCUGUUUCAAGGUUUCCAGAUAUUUCAGGAAGAAAACAGAACCUCUGGAGAGACCAAGAGGAAUGAUCUGAAAAUUAAGGCAAAGAUUGUAACUUAAGUGUAACUUAAGUGAAAAUUUGUCUUGAAGAGCAAAUAUGUCUGAUGCUAGUUAAUAUUGAGUCCUACUGCAUUUAUAUACUCCUGAACAGUUGAGUUCAGCAUAGAGGAAUGACAAAGAAUGGUUGCCUGUAAAGAACAAUGUUUAAGAACUCAGCUAUACAAGGGACAGGAAUUCUGCAGUGUUGCUUAAGAAAGCAUCUGAGAAGGCCUUGAGAGAUACUAAUGAGCAAAAUACUGAACAUCAAUUUUGUAAGUGAUCUUGAUGACAUAGCCUCUGUGGAGCAUGAAUGCCACUAUCAGAAGCUUUUGUCAAUACUUUUUUUCAGUUAAUGAUAUUCAAAGGGUUGAUUGUCAAAUUUAUGAAGUCAUUGUCUGCCAUGAGAGGACUUUGGAUCCCAUCCAGAUGAAGUUUUAUUUAGUGAGCUAGCAAGCACGAUCCUCGCUUCUUGAGCUUGGAGGCUGUAUGAAGAACUGAAUACUUUUCUUCUGCUGAUAGCAUGUAUUAUGGUUGAUGAUGUUUUGAAGAUAUAAGCAGUAUCAUUCUGAGAUCUUAUUUUCAUUAUUCUGUGGAACUGCUGGCCUGUGUGGUGCAGCACACCAUUACUUUCUAUACAGUAAGAUUUCUUGUGCAUAUAUUUAUUGUUAUGCGGUCUUUAGAAACUGCACAUUUGAUUAUGCCUCUAGUUACCAUCUCAUUUGCUUGAGAUGAGGUUAUCUUCCGGCCUUUUGUAGUCUACAUCUGACAAAACCUCUGCAAAAUAGUUCUGCAUUCUUUCAAGUUGUUACAUAGUGAGAGUAGUUACAUGCAUCAAAGACAAGGUAUGAAGUAGUUGAGCAAGUAGUUGUUAUUUUGAGAUGGUAUAGUAAUCAUGUAUCUUUUAGGAGCAAAUCGACAAAAAAUUCUUCCUCCCUCCUGAAGCCCUUCAUCUCUCCUCUGCUUCUACUGCAGGCUUGGUGCUUUAUAUAUAUAUGUGCUAGAGGUGAAUUGCCAAAUUUCUCAACUGUGGAGUGGAAAGGAAGGGUUUCUAAGCUAGUGAAUUUUACAAAGUAGAACUAUUUUUACUACUAUUUUUAUUAGUAGAACUAAGAUUAUUUUACUUAUGGCUCAUUAAAUUUUGUCUAAAGAAUACAGGAUGUCAGAAUCUUCUACGAUGUUUGUAGAAAGGUCAUAAAGUUUAUCUGGCAAUAUCUUUUUUUUUUUUUUUUUUUUUUUUUUUGCAAGCUCAGCUCAUUUCUUGAGACCACCAAAGACCCCAUCUUGUAAAUUGUGGACUGUAGGUUGCUGUUGAGUUUGUAUAAAACUGUACUGGCCUCUGCUACCAUUGGCUGAUUUUGGCAAUGCUCUGCAUGGACAGGCAGGUUUUACUAUUUGCACAUUAUUCUAAGACCAAAUGUAUAUUUCUGAUUCAUAAAUCAAGAUGUUUAAAUUCCGUUUAAGAUAGUGAUAUUGGUUGAAACAAACCAGUUGUGAAACUUUUUUCUUUCCAAUCCCACAAAAUCAUUUGUGUAUUCAUAGGACAUUUAUUCUUCAAAUGUCUUUUUACUUAAAAUGAUGUUGGCUGCUGUUUCCUUUACUACUUAACACAUCACAGGGAGGGCACCCUGAGUGACAGUCCCUGUUCCAGAUCUACAAGAGCUUCCAGAACAAAGAGAACUGAUGGACUGAUUCCUAAAUAAACAUUCAGCUGGAGUAUAUGCUAAGGAUUGACUAGUGCUGCUUCCAUGCUGAGAUGUUUUGAAGCUCAUGACAACUGCUGUGGAGGAGCUAGAUGCAGCUAAAAUCCCCACCAAGCAUGAGUGUCUCCAUGUUCCCUGUUCUUAUCUCCCUAUAAAGAAUGAGAGGCCUCAGGAAACAAAAUGGAGGAAAAGAUCAAGCAGAUUUUGAAUUUGAACUACGAUGGUGUCCUUUGGCAUGCAGAUUUUGUUUAUCUUUCCACAGCUGAGGUGGCAACAUGAAGCUUUUAUGAUGACACUUGUGGAGGUUCUGUUCUUUAUCUGCCUUUUGGUGACAUAAUGGACUAAGGAGAACUUUGCUCUCACUCUUAACAGAAAUCAGAAGAAGACGGUUUCCUUCAAAACUUGUUAUGCUUGAAUCUUCAGACCAAGAGAGCGAGUCAGCUGGAAGAUAGACGUUACCUAUAAGAGUAUAAAUGGAUACUUUGUGAGCCUUGGAAGUCAAUGUUUUAUUUCUUUUAUUCAUGUGUUCUGGUAGCAAUUCUCAAUUUUUAGCUUCUUCCACACUUAACAGAGUUAUUCCUGCCAUAUUAUAAUUUUGACUGUUAAUAUCUAUUUUCUCUGUGUUUGAGAAGAAAUGAUGAAAACCUGUUCCUUUAGGGACAUAGCUGACCUUUUGAUUUCUUUGGAUUCAUGUGUGGCGAGAAAAAAAAAAAUCAAAACAAAACAAAAAAAUCCUCUCCUGAUCCUGCUGUAUUCCUUUACAACUAGCUGUCUAAUCUCUCGCUAAUAACUUUUAUCUAUUUAUUUUCUUGUCUCAAAAGAUGUUUUUGUGAGAAAUAGCCAUCUCUUUCCUUGGUGUGAAAGUACUUUUUGGUAAAAAUCUUAACACUGGAAGAAACUGCAGUGCAGUAGCAUGCUAAUACCUGAAGGUCUGCAAUAUAGCAAACUCUACAGACUAGACUUCUUCAAUUCAAUAAGCAAAUUCUUAACUGCUGACCCUGUCAUAUAAGAAACUAGAUUUUAAUAGCUUGGAGAAGGUUUUUCAUUGCCCUGAGCUUCUCUCAAAAAAGGGAAGGAAGCAGUUAAGUCUAUGAAUGUGUAUCUUACUUCUUUUUAAUUGAAUUUUCAUUCUUCUGGAGCCAAUCUCUCAUGAAGUCAGCAUUGGAACCUCUCAGUCGUCAAGUCAUCAGUGUCAGUAACAUGCUUUAACUUCCAGGCAUUUUUAAGGUAUCUUUGGUGUUUGCAAGUCUUCAAUGCGGUGUAUCUGAAGAGAUUCACUGUGGUCACUAGCAUAUUUUAAGGUGACUAGUAGCUCCAUAUACCUCCUAUGAUUAUGGUAAAGAAGCUUUUCUCUGUAUUUUCUGUCAAAACAUAUUUCCUGUGAUUAUUAGAUUGCCCUGGUAAGUAUUGGAGAUAUACCCAUCUGGAAUACUUACUUGUACUCAGUUUCUACAGAUGAUUUUUAGGUCUAUAACAAAAUUUCGGUACUUCAGAUCAUGGCUUUUAGUUUUUAAUAUCUCAGUUUACUUUUCUUAACCUUCCAGCAACUACUUGUUGUACAAUUCAGAUGUUCUGGUCAAACAAACUGUUUUGCAACUAUCACUUAAUAUAAUAACUGAACCAUAUUUUUGGACUGAUUAAAUUUCAUGAAUUGAUUAUGCCUCAAUGUAUCCACUAUUCUGAUGAUUACAUUCAGACAUGUGUCCUGUCAGCACAGCUCAUAAAUUUCCAUUAUAGAGGGCAUGAGGACACUUCAAUGCAGAGCAACCACAGUGCUUCAGUUGUAUAUGUUUAUUGUAUGGUUAUAUGAUUUUGGAAACUUUCCUUUCUCUCUCACUCUAAAGAAAUUUUUGGAAAUCUUUGAAUUUUUUCUAGGAAAAAAAACCCUGUGUUUUGUCUAUGUUCCUGGUUACAAUAUUUGGUGUGUUGAGUGCAGUAAAAAACUGAUCUUUUAUCUUCAGAUCUCUUUUUCUUAGUUCAUAUUGGUUUCUCAGAAGCUUUUAGGUUUAUCUUCCAGAUUUUUUUUCUUGCUAUUAUAAAAAUUGUGGAAAACUAGAUGUGCAGAUGAAUGAUGGAUUUGUGAUCUGUAGUCAUCUAAAGAGCUUCACUUCCUACCUCUGCACUGUGAUGCUGGAGUAGUACAGAGUUUCUCUAAAAAUAAGAUAGAACACUCACACAGUGUCUAUUCCUGGGAAAUUUACCUCUGGUCCUCAUGGAUGCUUAGUUCACAUUACUAAGCCAAAACACUACUAAUGCAAAAACACUAUCAUUUGAGUUUCCUUAGUGAUCUGAGUAUACAGAUUGCACUGGGUUAUAGUAAGUAAGCAGUACUGCUUCACGUUAAGAUAAUAAGUAUAAGCUGCAGUCUGUCUCUCUGAGUUCAUUGCUACAUGCACACUAGGUUGCUGAUUCUACUUAUGUGAGAACUGAGACUUUGCUGUAUUCUUAAUCUGUGAAAAGCAUUUAUUGUAUUUCUACUGUUGACUUAGAAAAUCAAUACUGCUUUCUGUCAGAUCUGCUGCUACUAUUUUUGCAAUAUGAACUCCUAUCUCUUUGUUUUGGAGACAGUUCACAAAAUCUGCAGAAAUCCCUAAGAUCCCAGGAGAAAGUGAAAUCCCUAAACAAGCAUUCCUUACUUUGUUUGAGGUGGUAACUGGUAAAAUAAAUGACUAUUGAGCUUUCAGUUGUGAUUUUUCUUAAUGCUGUAUUUGUGAACAAUUAACAUGUAAGAUCAAUGUAAAUUUAUUUUAAAUAUUUCAGAACUCUGCAAACAGGGACUUUGAACAACUUUGAACUACUAUGGUUGUUUGUCACCAAAGACAUUAUUGAUCUAACCAAGGGUAGUACUGAGAGGGAGCAGGACUGCAGGGGGCCCUCUGUUCCCAUGGGUUUCUCUGAGGUGGGAUGUUUCUCUGUAUCCUCUGGGAUUUUUCCAGGUCUUGGAGAAGAGUGUCACCUCAGGCCAUCAUUUUUCCAGAAAGAAGAUGUAGGAAUACUAAACAGUCAUAAUCUGAUGUUCAAAGAGUGAAGCUGAUGUAUUUGUAUGCUUGGAUGUGGUAGUACAGAAGGGGUAAGAGCAAGAUGCUGACCAAAACUGCACCAUUUUUUUUUCAACUCAAAGACUUUUCUUAAUUCCAAAGUGGAUGUGAGGGGCUUACACAGAACCCUUGCACUUGUUUUACAUACACUGAAGUAAUAACAUAGUUUGAAGGCAUGUAGUAUAGCACUUUUUAAUACUUACUAGACUACAUCUUAAGGAAUACAUGAUGAUUGUGAAGGUCUGCAGAGAAUUAACAAAGUUAGUAGGAUAUUUGAGGGGACUGAGAGGGAACAAGAUCAGGAUGCUUAAGCUCAAAUUCAAAUUAGAUAAAGAUACAGCAAAAUCGAUGACUUCAUUCUUCAGUGUUGCAUACGACUGACUACAUAUGGUAUAUCACAAGCAAGGAGACGGCCCUGCCACACUAGAGACAAGUGAACAAGUGAAAGAAAUUUAUUUAGAAAAAUAAAAAUUAACACAUUCAACAUAGUAUCAGUUGUCAUUCUGAAAACAUCCGUUUAUAAAAAUGAUGUUAUGUUCUUUCAUACUUGAAAGUGAACAAAAUUCCCACAGCAGAAAUAUGUAUACUUUCACAAGGAAAAGAUUUUAAAAGUUCUGUCAAACUUUAUUUUCAUCCUAAUUCAAAACUGAAUAUUUUGACAGUUAAACACCCUUGUGAUCUGCUUACAUAGCAAAUACUUAAUGUUUUAUGUUUGGAUGCCUGUGGCUAUAUUGCCUGCAGCAUUUUAUUAUUAUCUGCAGUUUUUGCUGUAGAAAGUAGGAGGUUAAGAUCAUUCUGAAGAUACUCACACAGGAAAAAUAGUAGCAAGAGUAUUUCAGUAAAUUCUCGGAAAUAUAGUAAGAAUCAGUGACUAUAAAUGAAACUGAACAAAUUCAAGCAAAAGUCAAACAACUAAAUCGUAAACCCUUGGAAAAGUUUGGAGAGUUAAAAAAAAGUUCCCUGUCAUUCUGGUUUACUAUUUUUUUUUUUUUUUCUAAACAAACCAACAAAAGGUACAGAUUAGAAUGAAAUUAAUCAACUGAAUCCUUUACCACAGUUGUGCUGGGUAUGCAUGCAUCUACCUGGCUGGAUAGGAGAAAAUGUAUCACGGUGAUGGAGUCUGUGAUUUGGAAGACUGAUUAUAUUCAUAGUCCUAGUAUGUGCAAAGUAGCAUGAAGGUGAGUAGAAGAAAAAUGAGUGAAUCUUUGUUAUGGAUUGCAAAGAUCCUACUUUUUAACCUUUAGCUCACAGAUGAAAGAUGAUAACUCUGGGUAGCUGAGGCCACCCAUUUGGCUACUUUUUUAUACUGCUGUAUUUCUUCACUGAUGUUUGCUAUCAUCACUAGGUUAAGAGCAAUCACCUCUGCAUAGGGGAUGUUGGUAAAUCAUGUGGCUGGAAUGAAGUCUUAGUUGUUUCCCCUCCUCCCCUCUAUCACUCUUCCUGUGAGAAGCACUCUAAACAAUUUUUUUUUGCUACAGUACUGCUGAGUGGCUCUGGAGAAAUACACUGAUUAAAACAAAACACACUUCUAAGUUUGUUGUUGUUGUUCUCUUGUUUGUUCAUUAUUUUUUUUGAUUCAUUAUAUACAAAUUCUGGUUUUAUGCAACAUGGCUAAAACAUUGCUGUUCUGCUGCUGUUACUGGAGUCUGAAUUUCCACAACUGGAAUUACUUUUUAAAAAUUUCACGAGUAGUAAAUCUUCAUUUAUGUUUUGUUUAAUUCAAACUUGUUUGUAGUGAUUCAUCUCAAUGUAUCAACAGGAAAAAAAUAAACCUUGUAUCUGUUUUUACAAACCUAA